rnacentral:lncRNA from 1 species
AUUGGAGCGAUUUGCCAUUUCCUUCUCCAGCUUAUUUUAUAGAUGAGAAAACUGAGGCAAACAGGAUUCAAUGACUUGUCACAGCUAGUAAGUGUCUGAAGCAGUAUUUGAACUCACAAAGAUGAGACUUCCUGACUCAGGACCCAGCACUCUAUCCACUAUGCCACCUAGCUGCUCAUCCUAAUUUUGAAAAUUGGGAUUCUUCAGCUUGGAAAGAUAAUAAAAUCCAUUGGAAGGAUAAACAGAUGAGGAAAUCGAGGCAAACAGAGUUAAAUGACUUGGCCACGCAGCUAGUGUCAAAGACCAGAUUUGAAUUCAUGAAGAUGAAUCUUCCUGGUUCCAAGUCCAGUGCUCUAAACACUGUACCAUCUAGCUGCCCAUAGCUAAAUAAACUCAGAGUUGGGACAUGUGAGAGACAAUCACAUGGGAGCCCCGGUCAAGAUACUAAGGAACCAACUGAAAAAAACAGACUCCUUGGGGAAGCUUUGGGAGUUAGCUGUGAUCCAUCUUUUCUACAAGUUUUCUGGCCUUUUCUGAGAUACCAGCUUGAGAGGAGAAAUACUGCUUUUACUGGCUUCUGGCAGCUGGACAGAAGACCCAAGAAGAACCAUCACUUCUCUGCUGGACCUACUUUGGACUUUACCUCUGGGAUCUUGGCUCACUUACUGGACUCAGCUUGUGAGGUUCUGUUUGGGGGAAAACUUAACUUAUUUAGCCAAGAUAAGUUAACCAUUUGGAUAUUAUUAAAGGAAUUUAGGUUUGGGGAUAAGAUUAAGAAAUUUUCCUUCUCCCUUUCCCAUCAAUAAACUUAAAAAUAUUUAGAUAUUUUCCCUUCUUGUCUCUUUCCUUUAAACAAUCUAAUAAUAACAAGAUAUAACUGAUAAAUAAAAACAUAAAAGACAUAUUUUAUAUACA